rnacentral:rRNA from 1 species
AGCGAACGCUGGCGGCAGGCCUAACACAUGCAAGUCGAACGAAGUCUUCGGACUUAGUGGCGGACGGGUGAGUAACACGUGGGAACGUGCCUUUAGGUUCGGAAUAACUCAGGGAAACUUGUGCUAAUACCGAAUGUGCCCUUCGGGGGAAAGAUUUAUCGCCUUUAGAGCGGCCCGCGUCUGAUUAGCUAGUUGGGGCGGUAAAGGCUCACCAAGGCGACGAACAGUAGCUGGUCUGAGAGGAUGAUCAGCCACAUUGGGACUGAGACACGGCCCAAACUCCUACGGGAGGCAGCAGUGGGGAAGCUUGCGAAAUGGGCGAAAGGCUGACGCAGCCAUGCCGCGUGAAUGAUGAAGGUCUUAGGAUUGUAAAAUUCUUUCACCGGGGACGAUAAUGACGGUACCCGGAGAAGAAGCCCCGGCUAACUUCGUGCCAGCCGCCGCCGUAAAAC